GGUAGUAGCAAGUAUUCAAAUGAGAACUUUGAAGGCCGAAGAGGAGAAAUGUUCCCUGUGAACGACACUUGCACGUGGGCUAGUCGAUCCUAAGAGACGGGGGAAGCCCGCCCGAUUUCCCCCCAUCCGAUAGCGCGUUCCGCGGGAGUUUCGUAAGGAGAUUGGAUUAAAAUUUCAUGAAACGGAAGUGGCGGUUAACGAUAACGUUAUGAAGUCCGGAGACAUCGGCGGGAGCCUCGGGAAGAGUUCUUUUUUCUACGUUUUUUUUGUUGUAUCGCGAGAUAAGGGUAACUUUCUUAAGAUACAUCCGUGAUUUUUAUAAGCUACUACGUACAAAGGAUGAGCUUACAGAAUAGAGAUUAUAGAAAUACAAUUAAAGGAAAUUGGUGGUAACAUAAGUCCCAAUUGAGCUAACAAAAUGAAAUUAUACCU
rnacentral:ncRNA from 1 species